rnacentral:rRNA from 1 species
GAUGAACGCUGGCGGCGUGCUUAACACAUGCAAGUCGAACGGAAAGGCCCAAGCUUGCUUGGGUACUCGAGUGGCGAACGGGUGAGUAACACGUGGGUGAUCUGCCCUGCACUUCGGGAUAAGCCUGGGAAACUGGGUCUAAUACCGGAUAGGACCACAUUUUGGAUGGUGUGGUGGAAAGUUUUUCGGUGUGGGAUGAGCUCGCGGCCUAUCAGCUUGUUGGUGGGGUAAUGGCCUACCAAGGCGUCGACGGGUAGCCGGCCUGAGAGGGUGUACGGCCACAUUGGGACUGAGAUACGGCCCAGACUCCUACGGGAGGCAGCAGUGGGGAAUAUUGCACAAUGGGCGCAAGCCCGAUGCAGCGACGCCGCGUGGGGGAUGACGGCCUUCGGGUUGUAAACUCCUUUCGCUAGGGACGAAGCGCAAGUGACGGUACCUGGAGAAGAAGCACCGGCUAACUACGUG